CUUCUCCAUGGAGUGCAUG
rnacentral:miRNA from 1 species